rnacentral:rRNA from 1 species
UACAGAGGGGGCGAGCGUUGUUCGGAAUUACUGGGCGUAAAGGGCGCGUAGGCGGCCCGCUAAGUCGAACGUGAAAUCCCCAGGCUCAACCUGGGAACUGCGUCCGAUACUGGCAGGCUUGAAUCCGGGAGAGGGAUGUGGAAUUCCAGGUGUAGCGGUGAAAUGCGUAGAUAUCUGGAGGAACACCGGUGGCGAAGGCGGCAUCCUGGACCGGUAUUGACGCUGAGGCGCGAAAGCUAGGGGAGCAAAGCGGG